UUGACCUCAAAUCAGGUAGGACUACCCGCUGAACUUAAGCAUAUCAAUAAGCGGAGGAAAAGAAACUAACAGGGAUUCCCCUAGUAACUGCGAGUGAAGCGGGAAAAGCUCAA
rnacentral:rRNA from 1 species